CAGCAGAUACCAGAGACAGAGUUAACAAGAGACUGAAGAGGAGUUACUGAAGAUACAGGAAGACAAAAGUGUCCAAAGAGCCUGCAUUUUAUGUAGACUCUUAAAAUGGGAGAUGGGUGGCUUUUUCCAAACUCAAUUGAUCAUCCAGGAGUUGGAACACGUUUGUGAUUCGGAAGGUGCAGAUGACAAGGAAGAAGGGU